rnacentral:lncRNA from 1 species
AUUUCAGUAAUAUUGAAGAUGCAUGAGAAAUAUUCACUUAGCUCGUGGCCUCGGGCAUUUGAUUUAAUGCGGUACAACACAGUGGUUGCAUUACACUCAAAAAAAUGCUGGGUUGUUUCUGUAAACAAAUUGUUGGGUUGAUUGUGCUGGGUCAAAAAGUUGGGUUGUUUGGGGUACUGUAAACACAUUAUUGGGUUGCUCAUGCUGGGUAAAAUGAUUUGUAACGGGGUCAUUCACAAAUAAACAGUUGGUUGGGUUAUUUUGACCCAGCAACUGGUUUAUUACUUUUUCAUUAUUUGCGGAACUUUCUGGAUUCUUCACUUCUGACUGGAGGAGGCACGCAUUCGGAGCUGGCAGUGUUUUAUGUGAUUGCUGCCACUCAUGGACACGUUUGUGAGAGGAAAAUUGUCUGCAUGGCAGCUUGAAAAUCUUAUAGACACCUUUAAAGACCAGGAAGUGGAUGAGGAGAGUUUCCGUUUGCUGGAUGAUAAUGCAAUUGCCUGCCUUAUUCCUAAAAUAGGACAGCGUGUCAAAUUUCAGAAAAAUCACAAGGAACUUUUUGCCAGUCUCAGCAACCCGCCAACAGAGAGUAACAGUUCGGUAGAAUUAGGAGAGAUGGAGAUGGUAGAACAAACCCCGACCCCAAAUCCUCUCACCGUGGCUCUGCAACUUUAUCCAGCAUUUGUAAGUAUUGACUUUAUUUGCAUUUGUGUUGGGUAUUGACCAAAUAUGUAACAAUGAAACUGAAAAGGAACUGCUUUUACAAUUGCUCA